UGGGGAAUAUUGGACAAUGGGGGGAACCCUGAUCCAGCCAUGCCGCGUGUGUGAAGAAGGCCUUAUGGUUGUAAAGCACUUUAAGCGAGGAGGAGGGUACUGGUAUUAAUACUACCAGCUACUGGACGUUACUCGCAGAAUAAGCACCGGCUAACUCUGUGCCAGCAGCCGCGGUAAUACAGAGGGUGCGAGCGUUAAUCGGAUUUACUGGGCGUAAAGCGUGCGUAGGCGGCUAAUUGAGUCGGAUGUGAAAUCCCCGAGCUUAACUUGGGAAUUGCAUUUGAUACUGGUUAGCUAGAGUGUGGGAGAGGAUGGUAGAAUUCCAGGUGUAGCGGUGAAAUGCGUAGAGAUCUGGAGGAAUACCGAUGGCGAAGGCAGCCAUCUGGCCUAACACUGACGCUGAGGUACGAAAGCAUGGGGAGCAAACAGG
rnacentral:rRNA from 1 species